rnacentral:lncRNA from 1 species
GGCGGGCGCCCCUCCCCCAGCCUUGCUGCCGCCUUGCAGUUUGAUCUCAGACUGCUGUGCUAGCAAUCAGCGAGACUCCGUGGGUGUAGGACCCUCUGAGCCAGGUGUGGGAUAUAAUCUCGUGGUGCGCCGUUUUUUAAGCCCGUCGGAAAAGCGCAGUAUUCAGGUAUCACCAGCUGUUUAUUUCUUCAGACAUAAAGUUCCAUUGAGGUGAAGCAAUGAUGCAAGGCUUUUGGCAACCGUUCCCCAGCUCCCAGCCACACAUCGCUCCACUUACCUUGAGUGACAGCCUCCAAAGA